AUUGAACGCUGGCGGCAGGCCUAACACAUGCAAGUCGAGCGGAUGAAGGGAGCUUGCUCCUGGAUUCAGCGGCGGACGGGUGAGUAAUGCCUAGGAAUCUGCCUGGUAGUGGGGGAUAACGUCCGGAAACGGGCGCUAAUACCGCAUACGUCCUGAGGGAGAAAGUGGGGGAUCUUCGGACCUCACGCUAUCAGAUGAGCCUAGGUCGGAUUAGCUAGUUGGUGGGGUAAAGGCCUACCAAGGCGACGAUCCGUAACUGGUCUGAGAGGAUGAUCAGUCACACUGGAACUGAGACACGGUCCAGACUCCUACGGGAGGCAGCAGUGGGGAAUAUUGGACAAUGGGCGAAAGCCUGAUCCAGCCAUGCCGCGUGUGUGAAGAAGGUCUCCGGAUUGCAAAGCACUUUAAGUUGGGAGGAAGGGCAGUAAGUUAAUACCUUGCUGUUUUGACGUUACCAACAGAAUAAGCACCGGCUAACUUCGUG
rnacentral:rRNA from 1 species